rnacentral:rRNA from 1 species
AUAUUGGACAAUGGGCGCAAGCCUGAUCCAGCCAUGCCGCGUGUGUGAAGAAGGCCUUCGGGUUGUAAAGCACUUUUGUCCGGAAAGAAAUCCUUUCGAUUAAUACUCGGAAGGGAUGACGGUACCGGAAGAAUAAGCACCGGCUAACUCCGUGCCAGCAGCCGCGGUAAUACGGAGGGUGCAAGCGUUAAUCGGAAUUACUGGGCGUAAAGCGCACGUAGGUGGCUGAAUAAGUCGGAUGUGAAAGCCCUGGGCUCAACCUGGGAAUUGCAUUCGAUACUGUUCGGCUAGAGUACGGUAGAGGGAGGUAGAAUUCCUAGUGUAGCGGUGAAAUGCGUAGAUAUUAGGAGGAAUACCGGUGGCGAAGGCGGCCUCCUGGACUGAUACUGACACUGAGGUGCGAAAGCGUGGGGAGCAA